UACGGGGGGAGCAAGCGUUGUUCGGAUUUACUGGGCGUAAAGGGCUCGUAGGUGGCCAACUAAGUCGGACGUGAAAUCCCUCGGCUUAACCGGGGAACUGCGUCCGAUACUGGAUGGCUUGAGUUUGGGAGAGGGAUGCGGAAUUCCAGGUGUAGCGGUGAAAUGCGUAGAUAUCUGGAGGAACACCGGUGGCGAAGGCGGCAUCCUGGACCAACACUGACACUGAGGAGCGAAAGCCAGGGGAGCAAACGGG
rnacentral:rRNA from 1 species